UACGUAGGCAGCAAGCGUUGUUCGGAGUUACUGGGCGUAAAGGGUGUGUAGGCGGUUGCUUAAGUUUGGUGUGAAAUCUCCCGGCUCAACUGGGAGGGUGCGCCGAAUACUGAGUGACUCGAGUGCGGGAGAGGAAAGUGGAAUUCAGGUGUAGCGGUGAAAUGCGUAGAUAUCUGGAGGAAUACCGGUGGCGAAGGCGGCAUCCUGGACCGGCAUUGACGCUGAGGAGCGGAAAAGCUAGGGGGAGCAAACGGGG
rnacentral:rRNA from 1 species